AGGCCUGGAAGAGUUCUCCUCUCACCUCCCCCCCAGCCCACCUCUGUCUCUUUGGAAUGGCCGCCCCGGGAAAGUGAUCACAGCUCUUGGGACAGGAAGUGGUUCCCUCCCACACAGGAAACUGUGGACUGCAGCUGGUCCAGUGCCUGGUGGGGAAUUUAGUGCUGGCAUCGGCAGUGUGUGGGGUGCUGAGAGCAGAGUGAGCCCAAAGACCCCAUAGGCAAACCAGCUCUUACUGGCUUCCUGGCCCGUGGUCAGACCACUACAUUGCUGGCUCCUUAUUUCUGUCAGUUCCAAAGACGGCGGGAAAGGACGCAAGGGUGUGACCAUCUUCCCAGACCCCACGGUGUCAGGAGAAUGCUAAACUAUAAGGAAGAAUGAGAAAAAGACAUGGAAACUGAGUCAGAUAUUGAAGCAAAUUAAAAGAAGUCACUCCACAGAGCUCUACUGUAAAAUAGAUCGGAGAUAAAGACUCAACCUGGUUUUCCAAGAUGAUGACAGUGGAUUAGAGACACACAUAAUCAGGAGGAGGCCACCCCAGCUGACUAACUUGCAGAUUUGAAGAUAUAAUGGCACCGCCUCCAGUCUCUGAUGACUUAAAUGAAUCUCACCUUCUGAUGACUGAAGGAAAAUGUGUUCCUGAGUGCGAAGAAUGGUCCAAUUUUCAUUACCUCCCAGAGGCAGAGCCUGCGAAGACGCUGAGCUGGGCUGCACAAUUCACCGACAGAGCAGAGCUUUCAGGGGCUCCACGGCACCCGUCCUCACCUAGGAAAAGCCCUGCACUCAGCCCAUGCUCGGAGUCACGCUCCGCCGUGUCCCGGUCCGGUAACGCAGGGCAGCCUGGAUCUCUUGCUUUCUUAUGACCCCAUCCCCAAAUACACCCUCUCAGCUCUAUUGGAACAAACCCAA
rnacentral:lncRNA from 1 species